rnacentral:rRNA from 1 species
GACGAACGCUGGCGGCGUGCUUAACACAUGCAAGUCGAACGGAAAGGCCCUGCUUUUGUGGGGUGCUCGAGUGGCGAACGGGUGAGUAACACGUGAGUAACCUGCCCUUGACUUUGGGAUAACUUCAGGAAACUGGGGCUAAUACCGGAUAGGAGCUCCUGCUGCAUGGUGGGGGUUGGAAAUUUUCGGCGGUUGGGGAUGGAUUCGCGGCUUAUCAGUUUGUUGGUGGGGGAGUGGCUUACCAAGGCUUUGACGGGUACCCGGCCUGAGAGGGUGACCGGCCACAUUGGGACUGAGAUACGGACCAGACUCCUACGGGAGGCAGCAGUGGGGAAUAUUGCACAAUGGGCGGAAGCCUGAUGCAGCAACGCCGCGUGCGGGAUGACGGCCUUCGGGGUGUAAACCGCUUUCGCCUGUGACGAAGCGUGAGUGACGGUAAUGGGUAAAGAAGCACCGGCUAACUACGUG